rnacentral:rRNA from 1 species
AUUGAACGCUGGCGGCAUGCUUUACACAUGCAAGUCGAACGGUAACAGGCCGCAAGGUGCUGACGAGUGGCGAACGGGUGAGUAAUGCAUCGGAACGUGCCCAGUCGUGGGGGAUAACUAUUCGAAAGAGUAGCUAAUACCGCAUACGAUCUAUGGAUGAAAGCGGGGGACCGUAAGGCCUCGCGCGAUUGGAGCGGCCGAUGUCAGAUUAGGUAGUUGGUGGGGUAAAGGCUCACCAAGCCAACGAUCUGUAGCUGGUCUGAGAGGACGACCAGCCACACUGGGACUGAGACACGGCCCAGACUCCUACGGGAGGCAGCAGUGGGGAAUUUUGGACAAUGGGCGCAAGCCUGAUCCAGCAAUGCCGCGUGCAGGAAGAAGGCCUUCGGGUUGUAAACUGCUUUUGUACGGAACGAAACGGCUCUGGUUAAUACCCGGGGCUAAUGACGGUACCGUAAGAAUAAGCACCGGCUAACUACGUG